AACGAACGCUGGCGGCAUGCCUAACACAUGCAAGUCGAACGAGACCUUCGGGUCUAGUGGCGCACGGGUGCGUAACGCGUGGGAACCUGCCCUUAGGUUCGGAAUAACUCCCCGAAAGGGGUGCUAAUACCGGAUAACGUCUUCGGACCAAAGAUUUAUCGCCUUUGGAUGGGCCCGCGUUGGAUUAGCUAGUUGGUAGGGUAAAAGCCUACCAAGGCGACGAUCCAUAGCUGGUCUGAGAGGAUGAUCAGCCACACUGGGACUGAGACACGGCCCAGACUCCUACGGGAGGAAGCAGUGGGGAAUAUUGGACAAUGGGCGAAAGCCUGAUCCAGCAAUGCCGCGUGAGUGAUGAAGGCCUUAGGGUUGUAAAGCUCUUUUACCCGGGAUGAUAAUGACAGUACCGGGAGAAUAAGCUCCGGCUAACUCCGUG
rnacentral:rRNA from 1 species